CCGUGUGGGAGCAAGUUGAGCUCAUGACCGCCGACCAGUGACCGUGCAUGGCGCCGCGUCCAGCGCUUCAUGGCUGUCGAGGGGAAUGAUGUCCGGUCCGAAGGCGCCUGCGGCGGCGAGGCACCGCGGCUUCGGACCAGGCUUCAUUCCCCAUGACUCAUGGAAUGGCAGCGAUCCCGCGACCGCGAGCUUGUCGUCGUGAGCUCAUCAGACCGACGCCGCGCGGUCUCUGCGACGAACGUACGUGUGGAGUAGCAGGGAAGAUGGCCACACCCUCCUGAGCAGGGGAUUUCAGCUUCUUCAGAGAUCUGAAGUCUCGAGACUGGCUGACAGACAUCAGCAAAUGAGCAUUGCCGCCGGUACAGGCGAGAACUGCCCUGCAACUGAAGGUUUUGCCAGAUUCUGCUUGGCUUUAAAGAUGAGUUAACCAGGGCAAGACAAAAAAAGAAGAAGGCACCAGCAGCGAUAUUCACUUCAUCUGCCUGAUUUCAAGCUGAUGCUGCAGUUACUGAACACGGAAAGCAACAUCACUGGCUACCUUACUGCACUCCCCAUAAGAUAAAGAAGAGGACAAAGGUUCGGUUCAGAGACUUCAGAGCAGGGUUCCAAAUCCGUGCAGGACCCAAAGCACAAGUCGUGCUGUAAUUUAGACCCCAAGCACCUGAACAGUGCAAUUACGUUACGAGGAACCGAAAAAUAUACUGACGAAGAAUGUCUUCUAUUUCAUCAGGUGCUAACCCGGAGUCUGCAAUGAACAUUGACGUUGCACUGGAGAGCUACUCUGUUAUUAUUGAAGAUGAUCAGGCUGUAAUAUAUGCUUCC